UCCUGUGCCGAAGCUCCUGAAAGUGGCGGAUGUCUGCGUCAUCCACUGCUUCUUCACACAGAUCCAGACUGAAGCCACUCAGAUCAGACAACUGCAGCUUCUCCACCGCAGGAACAUCUGAAUGAAACGCAUCAUCUCACAUUUACAUACUCGAGAGUGCUUUUUUUGUUUAGUGGGUUGUGGAGCAGUAAGGAAUCGCGGAACAACUCCCCUGAAAACCCCAGCAGAAGUUUUCUGGAGGUCCCAGGACUCCAGUUUGAAAAGUUCUAGAAAACCUAGACAUGUGUACUCACCCAGUUCUGGCGGUAGUUCAGUUAUUGGGUUGCCCUCCAAAACUAUACACACUCACCUAUGAUGGCCAACACCUGCAGGGAGAUUUGUGAGUUCGUUAUGUCUCAAAUCCAACCACACUAAAGAUGGCAGAGAGCUGAAGAAGUGCUCAGGAAGACGAGUGAAUUCAUUACCUUCCAGAUAUAAACUCUACAACAUACACAUCAGAGGAAACACGCAAUAAAGUGCAUCAGAGAUCAGAUUGGAUCGGACCGGAUCAUCAGUGUUGAUCAGAGAUGCUCGUGUUUUAGAGGCAUCACGCAUCAGUUUCAGUGGGACUGAAAGGAAUGAGAUCAGAUCAUCAAUGUUUCACUGGGGCAAGUGGAAGAAGAGGAUGGGCGCCAACAGUUCGUCCAAGAGACCGGUGUUCGACGACAAAGAGGAUGGUCAGUCUCAACAUCAGCAUCACUGUUAAUGCACGAACACACUGAUGCACUGCACAUGUAUGUGAUGUGUGUAUUACACAAACUGCAGUUUGGCUUGAUGAACUCUCAUAAUCAUAUUUAAUUUCACUCAUAGUUUAUAAACUGUAGUCAUCUGCAGACACAAAUACACAGAAUAGUUUCUAUUUCUCUCGAUGGGAUUUGCCUCUCUCAGUUAGGUGUGUGUCAAAUGAAAUGCUCGUGUGAUCCUAAAGAUCUAAACAUGCUUGUUUGUAUUCUCGUGCAUUUCUGCUUUAUCUGUGAAACGGUCUGUGACGGUUUUAUUCUAGAAAGCCAGACUGUAAAACGGAGAUGUGUAUAGGAAUCGCUGCUGUCGUAUUGUCUGUCAAACUUGCUUUUGUUGAAAAUACACAGCCAGAAAAAUGUUCCAUCUUUUGUCUGUCACCUCUUUAGGACGCAUUACAUUUCAAAUCCAAUUACUGCUGCCAAACACAGGUUUUCAGGAAUAAAAAUCAGCCAAUUAAAAUCAUGUGCCGUUUAAUUGGCUCAUUAGCGAGGAUUUGAGGAAUCCGGGGGAAUUAUACCGCAGUAUUACAGCACUGACAUGAAUUCAACUGGAACUCUUUUUUUUUUGGCAGAUGAGUUGAUCUGAUGAAACCUGAUGAGUUAUUUCAUACGAUAAAACCUGAAGGACUGUGCUGGGCGUCUCAUGAUGACCCAGUAUGGACUGAAAUCACUUUAGCGCUUCUGUAAUGAAGGUGAAAAAUAUUACUGUUAUGUGCGGCCGUCUUUUAUUUACAGGACAAUGAGAAGUCAGGGAUUCAUUAGCGGGCGAAGUUCAUGUUUCAUGUCAAUGAUUUCAGUUAAGAAGUCAGAUGCUUCAUACAAUCGGAUGAAACGCUGAGAACUGAUCCGUAACACUUGACAGUAUUGUUUUGUAUUAGAUCAUGCAUAGCUGUCACAUACUUUUACAGAAGAUAUUCAUCUUGAUAAAGUUCUGCAUAACAUUUUAAUAUUAAAGGUUGUGCGCAUUAACAUCAGGUAAUGUGUUUAAAAAAGAAUAAUAGUCAAAUUAUAAAUGAGCAUUAACCAGGUUGAAUAAACGUAAAAUAAUUGUUAGUGAAUUCAUUUCACUAAUGUUGAGAUAUAUUGUAAGGGGAUAAUAUUAUUAAGCUCAGUAAUUCUUUAUGAAUGACAUCAGGUUGAAUUUCUCUGCCCGUCUGCUUUCUCACCACCGCUCCAGAAGAUUCUCACAUUUAUAAUCGAUGUGUUAUUUCUGCAGGAGCGGUGGGUUUCUGUGACGUCAUGCACACGGCCUCUUUGAUGCUGUGUAGACAAAACCGGUUCCUCCUCAUGACACACACAUGAAAGAGAGAGCGAGAGAGAGAGAGAGAGAGUUGUGCUCGACUUGUGUGUUCUGCUGGUUUGAGUCAUAACGAGAAACGUAUUCUGCCAAACACGUGUUGUGAUUUAUUUUGUUAAACAAAGAGAUGGUUAUAACACUAUUCUAUACGAUAUGUUUAAUGCAUUUACAGUAGGAACAGUACACUCAAAAAUGAUUAUCAUUUAUUUAUCUAUCAUCAUGUCAAACCUGUAUGAGUUUAUUUCUUCUUCAGAAGACAAAAGAAGAUAUUUUGAAGAAUGUUGAUAGUCAAACAACGCUGAACUCCAUUGACUUCCAUUGUUAUGAACACAAAACCAUUGAGGCAUUUCUCGAAAUAUCUUCUUUUGUGUUCCACUGAAGAAAGACUCACGUACAGGUUUAUGACCACACGCGAGUAAAAAUGAUGAGAGAAUUCCCUUUAAGUGCAUGUGACAGCAGAGAUUAUCAGUGAAUAAUGACUUAUACUUGGGUUUGUUCCUCACACCUGCGCUCACUUCACCUGUCACACAGAAUAGAGCUGCGCAAAUUCCUCCUUUGGCGUGCGACAGAAAAACAUCCUAUUGGUUUGAAACAACAUGUUUGUGAGUUAAUGGUGAUAAUAAAAGGAUUCAUUUCUCUGAUGAACUACAGCUUUAAUGUGAAUCAACUGCACGUGCGAGUGUUGAGAGAUUAGCGCUCGCUCGGAACAAACAGCGGAUGACAUCAUGGCGCAGGACAUUAUGUUAGAAGAGCAGAAGCUCGUGUUGACCUGGUUAAAGGCAUGAUGUGUAGACUGACGCUCCCUGCGGCUGCAUCACUCACUGUAGACCCCUCACAUCUUAUUGAAAUCAAACACGCAUGAGCCGAGACACAAUACUUCACUGUAACAUCUUUAAUAACGCUGCAGAUCUCUCCGCUGCUGUAGUAAGUGCUUCCUUCACCUCUCAUGUCUCGUUGCUCUCUUGACAUGAAUAAUAGAUCAGGGUGAAGAUGCAGAGCUAUGUGAUGGAGUUUGUUGACAGUAUAUGACUGU